UGUUUUCUCAAGGAGUGUUGGUGCCUUUUCCAUCCAGUCUCUCUCACUUUUCUUAAGUACAGACUCGCUUACAUUCAGAUUAAUUUUGGGCAAGGUCAGGAGUAGUGAAAUGGCCAUAAGCAUAAUGCUGUUGCUGCUGUUUUCACAGGCCAUCUCUGAGAGCAGCUGAAGUUGCAUGUUUUUCUGGCUCGGUUGAGAAGUAAUUUGGAAUAGAGCUCCUUUGACUCAAGCAUUGAAGCCAGACCUAAAUGCUUGAGUGAGAUUUCCACACUAACAUAAACUGAAGCACAUCCAAACAUCUGCUGCUCAACAUGCCUGAGAGUUAUCUUUCACCCUCUUGCCAGAUUCCUUGGUGCCACAUAUAGAUUUGUAGUUCCCUCUGUGGAUUUCUUUUCCCUUUUCCUCUGCUGUGCUCUUCUGAUCAUCCUCUAAUGGACCUGAACCUCUGUCAAAUACAUCUCUUUGCCACUGUGGGCAAACCAUUUGUCUUGAAUGGUGUAGAUCUGCUUGUUUUUUCCCAGAGGACUCUCUUGUUGACUACUAAUACAUGGUUUCUGGUACUGGAGCAUGUGCAGGACAGUGAUGUUCUUGUAGAGUGGAGCUCAUUAAGGAUAUUGAUUUGGGGUGAACUAUGGUAACUGGAUUGAACUGUUGCUCCCAAAUCCCUGUGUCUACGUCACUUUGCUCCAAGGAAUUGCUGAGACACCCAAGGAAAGAGUGUAGCUGCUCUAGGCUACCAUUUUCAGUUGAUGAGGUGAGCAGAACAUCAGAGAAUGGUCUGGGGGUGUCCUGUAGUGCUCUUAGCUGUUUUUGUUGACUCAUCUCCUGAUGUGGCUGCCUUUGGUAGUCACAGAGAUGUGCCUGGGAGGGAUGCAGACAGAUGAGGCAACAGGCAGAGCAGAGAGCUUCAGAUGAGUUAUUUGCAUCCAGACAAGGAACAGGGAAAAUAAAAGGACCUUGUGUCACAGUUCUGGGGCUCUUGGGGUUGUAUCAUACUGUCACUGUAGAGUUCAGUGGAGGACAGUUGUUUUGCUUUAAAAAUGGGAGAGUGAACAGUUUUAUUUAACUAAGAGUUAUGGAGAAGUCCAGUAUCCAUCUGACAACAAUCAUGGCAAGAGAAAAGGAUGUUUUUUGCUGCAUGAGCUGUAUGUGAUUAUAGUUCUCUUCUUCCUUUACCUAUGCAGGUAGCAUACAUGUCAGCACGUAGCUUCAAAACCUACCAUCUUCAUGAGUUGUGUUUAUAGUUAUACACUUAUUAAAUGAUUGUGUGCACUCGUACUCAGACUAUUAUAAAUCCAUUACUUUCCUGAGGCCAUAGGAAAUGGUUUUAAAAUGUGAAGCUUUUCUGCAGGGAAUUGAGAGAGAGCAAUACUAAAGCAGUGUACUUGGUUCACACAGAUCAAUGUAGUGCAAUAACUGGGAUGAGAAACCAAGCUUAAAACAUUACCAAUGUGAUUGGAUGAAAGCUUAACAUGGCUUUGAGUAAUGUCUCAUUAUAAGUAAAAUCUCUUAAAACACCUUUGGGGGGGAAGACAAAGCAAACUGCUUAGCAGCAAAUCAUAAAAGAGAAAUGAUGGUGCUUGCACUUGAAACUGAACUCUGGGUAGUACAAGCACAGUAGCAGUGAAACAUCAAGUUUGGCUGCCUUAUUUUCAAAAUGCUGGUGGUGAUGUUAGCCCAAGUCUUGGGAUGGGAGAUAUCAGGAGGUUUUAGAUAUUUUUGAUCUUUCCAUGAGAACUUUCAUGAAGACAUUCUCUUCAUCACUAACUUAAUUUCUCUGUCUGGAAAAAAAGUUUUCCAAAACUGACAUCUUACUAUCUGAGAAGAGAAAACAACAUCAACAACAACAAACAACCACAAAGAAAUCAUUAUUUCAGUUGAGAUUUAGAAUUGGUAAGUUUAGUUCCCACUGGGUUCAAACACUCAGGCACAAAUGUUACCCAACGUGCAUUGGAUUUACCUGCGUUUUUAAGACCACGGUUUAAUAGUUCAUCCCAGCACAGAAAGGCACACUGUACAGCUUAGUGUCGUCUUAGUUUUUUAUGUGAAUUUAUAUUAAGCUGAAAAUAAAUAUAAAUGACAGGAAAUGUUUCCUCUUUAAAGCACUGAGCCACUUACAGGAAUAAUUUUGAGGGAAAGGAGAAGGGAGGGUUUAUAAUAUCUCAGACGUCUGUCAUUAUCUGGCUUGUACAGCUGGAAGCUCACUUGUGAUUAAGUCAGUAAAAUGAAGAUGGUCGUCACUGAAAUGGUGGCCAUUCAUUUGCCCAAUUUUAAGUUAAGAAUAUUAGCACUGAUUAGCAAUGGAUAGGAAAUUCCUGAAAAGAUCCUGUCUGGGGAAGUGGAUUACAUGUCCAUCCCAGGAAGGACAUUGAAGAAUGCAGUUUCUCUGAAAAGCAUAAAACUGUAUUUAAAAAAAAAUAAUAAUAAUUCAAAGAAAUAAAAUAUCAUCCACUCAUCAGAUCUUCAGUCAGCUUUUCAGCACUCCAUUUAUUAUUAUUUGCCAUCUGGUGUAGCCCUUUAUCUCCCAAAGCAACAGGGAGUAUUCUUCUGGAGCAGGCACACAGCAGCGGCCGUCAUAUGCUAACCGCUUCUGACUGGCGAUCCUAGGGAGCCUGAUUGUUUGAGGCAAAUCAUCUCUCCAAGGACUGCAUGAUUUAUUCCCCGCAUUUGGGUUGCAAGGUUUUUUGGAGAGGGAAAAAAAAAUUCUUCCAUGUCAUUUACAAUGGACCUCACUCCAAUGAAUGAACAUCUUCUUGCAUAAUAGGAGUGCAGCUUAUCAAAUAAUAAAACCCUGCCACUCUAAAUUGCUGGGAACGGGAACAAUCCAGCCGACGUUAAUUCCUAUGUCCACUUUGUCAUGCCAUGAAUUCUUCAGUGGUUUGUGUGUGUGUAGGACCAUGCCUGUCAGCAGGGAAGAGCUUUGGUGUGCUACAGGAAAGCUGCAGAGACAAGUGGGUGUGAUUUCUCAGUUUCUGCUCCUUAAUAUGUUAUCCAAUUUUAAGUGCUACCUAAUGUUCAUUAGGGACGAACAGAAAGCCAUAUGGCCUAACAAAUGUAAUACGUAGUUGAGCAUAUUGGCAGAAUGACUCCCUUACUUCUGUCUCCUAUUCCACUCUCUGCCUGGUGGAGAGAAUAGUGAGGAGGCUGGUUUCACAAUGUUGAGGAGAUGACAGACUUGAUAACUUUAGUAUGGAGUGUUUCCAGAGCUUAACAAUGAAUGGCACAAGCUUUUUAAGGGGAGAAAAAAUAUGCACAGAUUUUCAAACACGUCAGCAGGUUGCAAAGAAUGUGCUGAUUAGCCAUUUGUAUAUUUGACUAGGGACAGUUGGAACUUGGGAAAUCUCAGCUUAAUUUCUAUCACUGCAACAUUUUCCCCGUCUGACCUUGGCAUGCUAUUUUAUCUCUCCAUGUUUGGAUUUCCGUACUUUCUCCCUAGUAAGACUUGGUAUAUGUAUGCUUAAACAGAGGAUAAUGUUUCAAAUGAAUGUUUUCUUGGCCAUCUAGAGAUAGUGACUGCAGAUUAUCUGACAUGUUAGGGGAGCAUUGUGUCCAUCCUAUGGUGCUGGACAUGUCUGUCCUGGAGCCUGGCGUCCUCUCAUGGCAAUGUUUGCCCAGCAGCCCUCCUGCCCUCACAUCUUGCCUCCCAUCUCAAGCUGUGGUCUUGAACCUCUGAUGCAGUGUUUCUUUCUGUGAUCCAAAGUGAUGGAGUACCCACUUCCCACCUUUUGGAAAAUCUGACUUUAAGAUGUGCUGGUAAAUUUGAGGCUUUAUUUUCUUCAACACCUAUACAUUCUGCUGUUAUUUUCUCUAUAGCCAAAACAAGGCUGCAAAGAAUUUUGGGCAGCUUUUACUUUAUCGAAUCGACUGUGCUCAUCUGUAUUUUCAAGCCCAGGGUUUGAAUGUGUGCCCUCCAUAGCCACCAAAUGCCAGCAGGAGUGCACUUACACUGUUUCAUUCCCACAGCAGUAGCACGGAUCAGUAAAUUUGAGCAAAAGACCUAUUUGAAACAGAGCCCACAAAAAAAAAAAAAAAAAAAAAAUUAAAAAAAUGACAUCAGCAACAGUAAACUACUCUUGCAAAUAACAGCAAUGAAGUCUUAAAGCAAAGGUUGUCUGUGUCUAUAUAGAGGCAAUACUUAGUGUCUGUGUGAUAUACAAGGCAGCUUAUCUCUUUGAGAGCAGGAGACUAUAAAAAUACAAUUGCCAGAACGAAAGAAAAUUGAAGCUGAUUGCCAUAGCAACAAAAGAAUUACAUUGAUGAAACAGAAGCACAUAAAAUCCUUGUAUGCUACAUUAAAGACAAAGCAAUCUAAAGUAAACAAGAGUGGAAUGGAAUUUGUUUGGCUGGAGCUGGAAGUGACAAAUCUAUCCAGCCGAUGGAGGAAGAAAUGAUCCCACACGCAGGGAAGGAGCAGUCCUUUGAGGGCAGGGGUUCACCCCUCAAUUUCUUUCAGGAGCAAGAACUGAGGGACAUAAGACUGUGGGUGCAGGGGACUUCCCAAGCUCUGAAGACAGAUAGUGGAAGGAGAUUCCCAAUCACGUGGUCAGUAACAUCCACCACCUCGCACCUGUCCUUUUGCACAGAUCUCCUGACUUUCUCCCUGAGUUUCCAAGGGAGAUUCCUCUCCCUUGAUGAAUUUCUCUCAGCUGGAUGAAACAAGCUGCUAAUGUGAAAAGGAGUUUUCUCUUUACAGCUGCUUUUCUUCAUAGAAUCAUGGAAUCAUUAAGAUUGGAAAGACCACUAAGGUCAUCCAGUCCAGCCAUCAUCCCAUCAGCAACACAACUCUAAAUGAUGUCAUUCAGUGUGACAUCUCCUCUUUUCUUGAAAACCUCCAGGGAUGGUGACUUCACCACCUCACUGGGCAGCCUGUGCAGCACUGCACUUUUGCCCUUUCAAUCAAAGUGACAUGGUGAGAUUGCAGGCACUGCAGCAGAACCAGCAGAUUUCCACAAUGCGCUGGUGAAACAACAACUUCAAGCCUAUACAGCCAUUCAGCAUUUUUCUGAUGUGAGAAGCUGGGGGGGGUUGAAGGUCCAGAACUCAAUAGCUCACAUAGCAUCAAAACGGCAGUGGCAGAUUCAGCAUAGUCCUGCAUUGCUUUGCUGGGCUCUGUGCCUCUGUUCAGGGAUGGAUCAUUGUGCACCUGCUGGGGACUCUUACCUGCUGGAUCAUACCCACAGGUUUUCGGUUAGAUGAAUUUGUCUAUGAUACAAGCAACAGAAAACUGAGUUAUUGUUGUAGUGUUACGUCAGAAGAGAAGGGAGCUCCUAUGUGAACCUCCAUGUACAAGAGAUCAAGAACAGCUAUCCUUGUUAUCUGGAGAAAGGACAUGUAAUCCAGGUCAAGUCCAUUUGAAGUAAGUGUCUAUACCCCAUGGCUGGGUCUGGAAGAGUAAAAAUAAAUAAAUAAAAAGUGAAAAAAAAAGUAAAAAUAAUCAAAAAAAAAUCAUGUGCUGAAUUAAAGAUCUUUCCUGAAUGCAGUUUUUAUUAAAACCUUAUUAUUUCUUAUCAUAACAAAGCCUUGAAGUCAGUCCAAAUGUUGUAGCUAAGUAUAAUGCGAGUAAUCCAAGUGGUGGACUGACAUGUCCUUAAGCUACAGGAACGUUUAAUCUACUAGAUCUUAGACAGCAAGAGAGCCCAGACCUUUCAAAGUUAAGAGAAAAAAAAUCUUAAGACUAAAAUAAAGUCGACAGUUUCUUUAAUUAAACUCAUCUUCCUUUCAAAGGAAGUGACAAAAAGAGUUAGGAAGAUUAAUUAAGGCUUAAAUGCACUAAAAUGACUCAAGGCAUAUUUAAGUAAGACUUAAAUUAGUCCUUCAUUUGGACAUGGGAGAUUCCAUUAACAAUAAUGAAAUGGAGAUAGUCAGAUUAUUAAACCCUCUGUUCUAAGCUCUGCUCAGAGGUUGUUUCCCAAAUCCUACCAAUCUCCCAGUUCUUAUACCAGUCCUGAUGGUUGUUUCUUUAAUGUUUCUGUCAUUUCUUUUUUCAUGUUUUUAUUUAUUUAUUUAUUUGUUUCUAUUUCUGCUGAACAUCACCGAAAUACUUUGCCAUAUUUGAGCUUACACAUUCCCUUACUUGACAAUGUAUUUUUCUUUGCAGGACCCAAAAUACUGGGAUAUAUUAAACUCCUGGGAUUGUUGCUGUUUUGGCAUUUAGGAAACAUUAAUUCAGACUGAAAUCUUGCUCUCCAUCUGGUAAACAAAAGAUAUCCAUGCAGAUCUGAGCUCUCUGGUGCUCUCUGAAAACCUGGUGUUUAACAGAUAACUGCAUUGUGCAGCAGUUCCAGCUACUGCAUUGAGAUGGCCCUGAGUUAUGAAGAGAAAAAUGCAGAUAACAAUUCUCCUGGUUUGCACUGAAUUAAAGCUCUGGAUGAUGAACAGCAGAGACAGAAAGUGUCAGUGCAAAGGGAGAGUAAAAAAAGGGAUUGCGUGCAAGACAUCUGUGAAGGAGAGUGAAGUUGCACCCACCAAGCAUGCACAGACUCUCAGCUGCUUCCCAAGAAGACAAAAAACAGAUAAUUUUGGUAAGAAAUUUCUACCAAAGCAAGAGGGCAAUCUUAGAAGCUUCCCCCAUUGCAAAACAGGAUCACUCCUGUGCCUGCCAGAUGUGUGAAUUCCCACUCAGGGUGGCUGCUGUGGGAGCUGUUUGCUUUCCCCACUGUCUCUGCUCUCCAGGUAGAGCCCGGUUUUCUGCCACCAUUAUCCUCACCACUGCAGUUCCUUUUUUCCUCAUCUCUGCCACAAAUCUGUCCUGCAGCAGUGUAAACCCAUCACUUCCUACUUAAUGUGGGUAUGGCAAAAGGACUGUUGUUCCCUGCUUCUUUAAAGGAAAACCACUGUUACGACAUACCCCUUUAUCCUUUCUUCAGGCUAAAACCAGCUCAUCUGGUCUUUCCUCCGGGUCAGGUUGCUUAGACCUUUCAUUUCUCUUGUCAUUCUCAUUUAUUUAACUUGACUCACCAGAAAUGCAUCCUUUUUUUUUCAGGAUUGCAGUAAAAGGAGGCCUAUGGUAUUUGUCUUUUGUACGUUGCACCUUCUGGCUCUCAUAGAUUUUUUUUUAUCUCCAUCAAACCAGGCUGUAAAAUCAGGGGGGCGAGGAGCAGGGGAGAAUUAACUGCUAUUCAGUUUUGUUGGGGUUGCAAAUUGGAUCCAUCCAUUUCUCUAAGCAGGAAAACAAAUAAAAUGCCAAUACUCUAGGGAGGACACAUAGCAAAACUAUGCAAUGAGAAAAUUUGUAAACCUAGUUUCUCUCUGUGGGUGGCUAAAUAGCUGUUUAAAGCCAUUUAGCAUCGCAUACGCAGUUGAAGAAACAGAAUAAUAGAAGAAAGAAAGCUGCAUCUUGCUAUUAAGUAAACCCGUUGUUUUUUCAGAUUUACUGGAUUGUUGAUUUAGGAUUUCAGGGCUGAACUUAUUUAGGGGAAAAGAGCUUCAUUUGGUCUUGUAAUUGCAUUAACAUGCACUCGUGAAUGCACACUAAAGCCAUUGCUGCAUGUCCACUGAAUUGCUACUCACCUUGGCUAGAGUCCAAACAGACUUUGGGCACUGUGGAGGCAAAUGGGUGCUGUUUUCACGGUUAGUGAUUAUAGGCAUUAGCAAGGCACAGCAGUAGGGACGUGGAGGGACAGAUGAUGGAAAGCUCAGGAAAUAGAGUCUGUUGCUGUCCUUCGUGCACAGCAACCUGAAGGGGUGGUGCAUGUGUUCCUGCUGCUUCUGUUCAGGAGCUGGAGUUCUUUUUUAUUGUAAGCAUUCCUAAAUUUAAGUAACAGAUCUACUGUAGGUGUCUGCAAAUCCUGGAGGAGUCCUGGGGGUUUCUGGUUUUUUAAUACCUCGGGUAGGGGUAACACCAGGCCACAGCAAUAGAGAGGGAUAAUUUACUCUACUGAACUCAUCCUGCCUUAAUUACUCUUUUCUACUAAAUCCCAGAUCAGCUGAAAACUGCAGUAAACUGCAGUGACAGCAGUGUGAGGAGACCUGCAUGCUCCUUAUCCUGUAACACUCAGACAAGAAGACUCUCCACACACUUUGGUACAAGCCACAGGUCCUGCAGGAAGAGGUAAACAGAAGUACAGCUGUGAUUUGUGUUCCAAGCAGCUGACAGAUGACCUACCAUGCAACUUUUCCUGCACAGAAGUCACAGUCUGCUUUGCAGCUGGAUAAAGUACAAGAAGCAGCUAUUUUUGCUUUAUUGAUGCCCUGUUCCAUCAUGACAGGACAGAGAUCUGUACUUUCUGCAGUUCUUGUAACACAGCUCUUGCUGAAGUCUAGGUAAAUAAGUGCAGGACAGAGCACAUAAGACAUGGAACUGUUUUUUCUAGCCCACAGCACAGUUGUCUUUGAGUCUUUAUGCUGAUUUCAACUCAAAGGAGAGAAAAGAGGAGGGAGGGGGGGAAGAACCUCCAAGUAGUAUAGGAGAGAGGAAUAACUACACUUGGUUUUUGAGCCUGGCACACAUUAGCCCUCAGCUGCAGAUGAUUUCCCUGGAGCCACAGUUGAUGAUGGCUUGCAAUUAACACCUUCCCUAAAAGAGAAGAGCUUGAUUUCAAAGGACUUGUCUCGGAAGGUUGUGGGGUUUCUCUUCUGUACAUCAGUGUAUAUAGAAAAAGAAAAGGAGGAGUUUUCAGUCAGACAACUGUGUGGUUCAGGCUCAGGUCUGGGAUCACAGAAGUUGCAGUUUCUGGGUUAGAAUUAUCUGGGUUGAUACGUCCUUUAUCCAGAUGUUCUCACAUCCUCCUGUUAAAAAGUACCACCAUUGUUAGUGUUCAGUUCGGCUAUUACAUUCAAAAUCUCUUCAAUAUUUACAAUUACACCAAACCUCCAGAUUUGUCAUGAAAUACAAUCAGUGUCCUCCAACCAGCUUGAUAUACUCCAUCCUACAUCUCUGUUCUUUUAAUUCAUCCUCUUCUCUACCAUCUCAGGAGUUCCCUUUUGGAGUUUGAAAUAGAAAUCGAAUCCCCACACAAUAUUAGCAGCCUGCCAUUUGCAAAAAAAAAGUAACAUAUGAAGCUUUUUGUUUGAAUUGAUUAAGGGGAGGGAGUCAGAAAGGAUGCUGUGUUUGGAUAGGAAAUAAAAGUAAUGUGACUGCUUGUUGACAAUCCUGUGUGCCCACCAGCACCACUACAGAAUCCUACGGACUGUUUAAAUUUAAAUGCUGGAAAUCAAAUUUUACACCUGCACACAAGGUGUAAAAGCAAUGAGCCGACCAGCCUAAAAUUAAUCUGUGUGGGACUGUGAGAUAUUUUAGGUGUGCCAGGUAAUGGGUUCCAGCUCCUCAGUGCAGCAGACUGGAAAAGGCAGAGGGUGCCCUCAAUUUCUUUCUAACCUCUCACUCUCAUCUCCCUUAUCAUGUUGCAGAGAAGCAACAAUUUUGUUCUACAUAAAUUAAGGGGCCAAACACACCUUCGCUGCUCCUAACUUUCCAGUGAUCUUGGGAUUGUGGAGGGGACUUGAAAUACUGUGGAAGCUAGGCUGACAGAGGUGCUAAUUAGAGAGAGGAAAUAAGUGAUGGAGCCCUGAGAGUCUUCUGCUGCCUCAGGAAAAGUCAGGAUUUCUGAAUGCUUCUCAAACCCUCAGACUUUUGAAAUGAGUCUCUCGGAGUUAUACUGCAACGUUACAGCGGAGCUGAACACGAGGUGUUCUGAGGCUCUAAUGAUUGAGAUGCAAUGAUCCUUACACAUAACCUAAAAAGAGUGGAAGUCGCUGGAGCCCAUGAAGGUCUCCCAUCCCAGGCAGGGAUGCACUGAGGACAUGGCUGAGUGCUUGGAAACAGGUCUGAGUGGGACACACAUGUAGAGGUGCACCCACAAGUCUCUAGGCCGAAGCCUAGACCCACAAGUCUCUAGGCCUAAGCUUUUCUCCUUUAUUUAGAUUUUUGUCUCUAAAAGGAUGCAAAAGCCUCCAGUCUAAUAGCAUCUUCCAUGCAGCUUCCUUCUGUUCAUGGAGAAAGCCUCAUGGAGUAUGUUUUUUUCCGCACACUUGGCAGUGUUGUGCUUUAACCAUGUGUUGCUAAGUUAGCAGAUCACCCUUGGAGAAGCAGAAGGGGCAAUCCCCUCAGUGUGGCGGAAGAGCAGGAAGCAUAUACAGAUGUCUGAUCUUGUAGCAAGAGAGGAAGGACGACCCGCAGAUGGCUUGUUCCUGUAGGAAAGCCUGCAACCAUCCCUUUCCAGGAAGGAGGACUUACACUCUGCAUGAAGCAAAUCAUCAUGGUGCAGAUGGCAAUGCGUAGCAGGGCCCUGCACUCUGCUUCAGGUGGCAGCAAAGCCUGAGCAGCAGGCCCCACUAAGUACAGUCCUCACUCCCUUCUAUCUGCCUUUCAUUUUCACCAGAGAUUUGACAAGCAAUUUAUUAACUCCGCAAGCCUCCAUGCAGUCAAGACUAAAUUUGGAAUUAUUAUUCAUGGAGAUGAAAGCUAACAGAAUGUCUCCAUUACCUCUUGAAAUAAGGGGUCUAUUAAGGACCAGGGAGGAAACCGCUUCUGCGGAUGCUGCCUGCCCAUCAGGCACACGUAAUGUUUCAGUUCCAAUUAUCCUCAGAGAUCUCAUUUGUUUCUCAUAACCAUGAGUUGAUUCCAAUUUGAAAACGUGGGACGUUCUCUCAUCAGCUACCUCCAGUAACUCCUUGGACCAUAUUCAUUUUGGAAAAUAUAGUUUCUUUAUUGAGUGCAUCUGUCUUCUGUGGCUUGAACUUCUCCCCUGAGAGAUCCCGGGCCUAGAAGGUAGCUGGUGGAAAACUAGGCUAAAUCUAUUCCUUAAUGUCUAAAUAGCAUGAAAUAUUGCUAAACUAAAUCAUAACCACAGUAUUUAUAUAUGGAGUUGCUAUGCCACUGCUUAGCUUUUCCUAACAUAUUACUUUGCAAGGCUCUUUGGGAUACCUGGAAUUGCGAAAGUGGUAUAUUAAACCGAAUUCUAUUAUAUUCUCUAUUGCUGUUAGCAACUUCUCUUUUUAGCCUGUUUUAAGGCACCUAUGUGUUUCAUGAAGUGCAUUCCUGCUCCCAUGCUCCAGGCCCUCAGAUGUCCAUUUUAGGUAGUAAAACUGAAUAUUAGAUACUACAACUAACAUCUUUUCAGAGUACCGAUCUCUAUUCCUGUCAAAAGCACUAUAUAAAGAGUUUGAAAUGAAAAGGCGAAGACUGGAGAGAUGCAUUCCUCAUUCAUCACUCCACUGCUUGGACAAAAUAAUAUUAAACUCUGUAAAAUAUCAAUCUUCUUACCCUGAAGAAAAACUAAGAUUUUAUUUUCCUAUUUCUCAGAAGACAUUUCUUUACUGUGAGCUACAAAUUCUAAUAUUGUCUUCUUGCAAGAAAUUCACAAAACAGGGUUAUUCUUUUUUAACAUCAGCAUAAUAAUUUGGAAUGAUUACUGCUACGCUGCCCAUGAAAAGUGGUAACCACAGCUACUGACAGGAUAACAUGAAAAACAAAUAGCUUACGUGUACUCUACUCUAUGAAAUAAGGAUAUGUUAGAGUCCCCCACAUCAGUCAUCCAGAUGAAAAAUGUGUACAGAUUAAACCCUACCGAGGAAUGGCAUGUCAAUAAGCAGAACGUGAGCUUUUAGACAUAGAUGUAUAGUUUGUUCCAAAUGAGCAAAACUCUGCCAAAGUAUUGGUGCUGCAUUGAAAUGCUGAAAAAUCAGAACUUACCUGGAAUCAUGGUGUUUUUGUAAUAAACAUAGGUUAAAACUCAAGUUUGCUGGGAUGUAGGCUAGCUAUUAAUCAAGCUUUCUGUACACACAUCAUGAUGUAAGGAGUUACAGAAGCCCUAGAAUAAUUAGUAUUACCUUAGAAGUUCGGAUGUCCUUGCUAGAAGUGGAAAGAUCGGCCUUGCCUUCCUUUGUCAGUUUUGGAAAGCAAACAUUUCAUUUCAUAAAUGUUUCUUUUGUGCCUUUGGUUCUGCAGGAUCAUCUUCUUAACAGUCUAGGCACUAGGAUCAAAGUGUCUGAUUUCUGAGGGAUUUGAAGGUUAUUGUUGCCAUUUUGUAUUUUUCAAGUCAUUCUUGUUGCAUCUUUCAGCAAGAAAAAAGAAACUCUCUAAGGGUGGGUAAGCUGAACAUAAACUUCCCAUCUUGGAUGGAAGAUGCUGCAGUCAGGCGCAUCCCAUCAGUUCCAACACAGUGAUAAAUCCAGCUGGGCUACUUGUAAUAGUCUAAGAAAAGAGAUGAGCAGCUGAAUCCAAAUUUUCAAAAUAAUAAAUUUCCAUGGGGGGGAGGUGGGCUGCAUAAUUCUUUUUACAGAUGAACAUCCUUGGAGAUUUGAGUGCCUUUGACUAUUAUUAGAAGAGGGAAAAUAGGAAGAGAAUAUCCUAAUGUUCAAGAUUUUGCAUUUCCCUGAAUACACUGAUCUUAGAAUUAUAGCUCUGGGGCUAAAUGUUGCCUUUUUUUUUUUUUUUUUUUU
rnacentral:lncRNA from 1 species